rnacentral:rRNA from 1 species
GAUGAACGCUGACAGAAUGCUUAACACAUGCAAGUCUUUGGCGAAGCUGUGCUCGCACAGCCUAGCCAAGGCGGACGGGUGAGUAACGCGUAAGGAACUUGCCCUGCAGUCAGGGAUAACAGACGGAAACGACUGAUAAGACCUGGUAAAGUCAGGCGGACUCAUGUCCAGCCUGAUGAAAAGAGAUGCUGCAGGAGAGCCUUGCGUCCUAUUAGCUUGUUGGUGGGGUAACGGCCCACCAAGGAGAUGAUAGGUAGCCGGCCUGAGAGGGUGGACGGCCACAAGGGGACUGAGAUACGGCCCUUACGCCUACGGGAGGCAGCAGUGGGGAAUAUUGGACAAUGGGGGCAACCCUGAUCAAGCAAUUCUGUGUGCACGAUGAAGGUUUUCGGAGUGUAAAGUGCUUUCAGCAGGGAAGAAAAAAAUGACGGUACCUGCAGAAGAAGCGACGGCUAAAUACGUG